rnacentral:rRNA from 1 species
UACGGGGGGUGCGAGCGUUGUCCGGAAUCACUGGGCGUAAAGGGCGCGUAGGUGGCCUGCUAAGCGUGCGGUGAAAGUCGGGGGCUCAACCCCCGAUCGGCCGUGCGAACUGGGAGGCUUGAGCACUGUAGAGGCAGGCGGAAUUCCGGGUGUAGCGGUGGAAUGCGUAGAGAUCCGGAAGAACACCGGUGGCGAAGGCGGCCUGCUGGGCAGUUUUGCUGACACUGAGGCGCGACAGCGUGGGGAGCAAACAGG